AUACUUAGUGGCGGACGGGUGAGUAAUGCUUAGGAAUCUGCCUAGUAGUGGGGGAUAACUUGGGGAAACCCAAGCUAAUACCGCAUACGACCUACGGGUGAAAGGGGGCUUUUAGCUCUCGCUAUUAGAUGAGCCUAAGUCGGAUUAGCUGGUUGGUGGGGUAAAGGCCUACCAAGGCGACGAUCUGUAGCUGGUCUGAGAGGAUGAUCAGCCACACUGGGACCGAGACACGGCCCAG
rnacentral:rRNA from 1 species